CCUACGGGUGGCUGCAGUGGGGAAUAUUGGACAAUGGGGGAAACCCUGAUCCAGCGACGCCGCGUGUGUGAAGAAGGCCUGCGGGUUGUAAAGCACUUUAUGAGAAUCGCCCUAACCCACAGAAAAAGCACCGGCUAACUCUGUGCCAGCAGCCGCGGUAAUACAGAGGGUGCAAGCGUUAAUCGGAAUUACUGGGCGUAAAGCGUGCGUAGGCGGUUACGUAAGUCGGGUGUGAAAGCCCCGGGCUCAACCUGGGAAUUGCAUUCGAGACUGCGAAGCUAGGGUACGGAAGAGGGAAGCGGAAUUUCUGGUGUAGCGGUGAAAUGCGUAGAGAUCAGAAGGAACAUCAGUGGCGAAAGCGGCUUCCUGGUCCAGGCUGACGUUCAAGCACGAAAGCGUGGGGAGCAAACAGGAUUAGAUACCCGUGUAGUC
rnacentral:rRNA from 1 species